UUUUCACACCUCAAAACUGGUCGGGCUGUAUUAGGGUUUAGAGAGGCAGUGUGACACAGUGCGGCCGCAGAUAUUUCAUUUCAUAGUUGAAGAGGGAAGUUACCAUUUCCAGGGUUUUAGGGUUAGGGUAUUCUCAAAUUGCAAGAACAUCGGUUUUAACAUUCAACCCUAUGGGAUUCAAUCCAUGCUCAAGGAAGGCCACAAACACCUUUCUGGUCUCGAUGAGGCGGUUCUCAAGAACAUCGACGCCUGCAAACAACUUUCCGCUAUAACUCGAACUUCCCUUGGUCCCAAUGCUAUGAAUAAGAUGGUUAUAAAUCAUUUGGACAAGCUUUUUGUCACGAAUGACGCUGCGACAAUUGUGAACGAACUUGAAGUUCAGCAUCUGCUGCCAAGAUUUUGGUUUUGGCCGGGAAGGCUCAACAAGAGGAGAUUGGGGAUGGAGCUAACUUAACUAUUUCAUUUGCUGAGGAGCUUCUGCAGGGUGCUGAGGAACUUAUCAAGAUGGGUUUGCAUCCGAGCGAGAUAAUCAGUGGAUACACUAAAGCAAUCAACAAGACUGUUCAAAUAUUGGAUGAUCUGGUUGAAAGGUUCGGAGAAUAUGGAUGUUCGUGAUAAGGAGCAAAUUGUUUCUCGAAUGAAAGUAGCGGUUGCUAGCAAGCAGUUUGGUCUAGAAAAUACCAUAUGCUCACUUGUUGCUGAUGUGAGUGCAUCUGGAUCCAUUUUACUGUGAUAAAUUGCUUUGGUAGCAUAAUACUGUUUACAAUCCGACCUUUGUUUAGAAAAUAGGCAUGCAUCCAAGUAUGUCUGAAAAACCCGGCAAAUUUUAAUGUGGACAAUAUUCCGUUGCAAUGCUCUUGGGAGGGGGCUUGCAUAACAGCACAGUAGUUCGAGGAUUGGUGUUGAAGAGUGAUGCUGUUGGGACUGUAAAGCAAGCAGAGAAGGCAAAGGUGAGCUUUCUGUGUAGAUUUUUUUUGGUUUUAUCGAUGAGUCUCGUAUAAAUUCAUUUGUUGUGAAUUAGUAUCUUAAUUGUCUCCUAUAAAUUCAUUUGUUGUGAAUUAGUAUUUUAAUUGUCUGACUAUUUUUUUUGGUUUUGUUCUCUAACCUUUUUUUGUUUUAUUUUAAAGUUUAAAAUGUUUAACAAGUUAAUUCUUUGUUAGCUCCAGCCAACAUUCUAACACCUCUAAUUAAUAGCUCUGUUAAUGAUGUUUAGUUGUCUUCUAAUUUAGCUUAACAUGGUUUCGUGUUGAUCUUACUCUUCAGAAUGUUCAACAAUUUGUCCAUUCUACGACAAAGAAUUUGAAACAUGGGUGUGCUACACUCGAGGGUUAAACCUUGAAACCCAUUAAAAUAUUGGUAUUUCAUUGAACCACAAAACCUAAUUUCUCGCAUAUAAAAGAUAUAAACAGCCCAUUGUAACACUGCUGUGAACAUACACAAUCAAGCCCUUUGCAGCAAUUGAAAACACAAUCUCCAUUUGAAAAUCUUUUCGAUUUGUACAGUGAUACAAUUAUUUGUGAAUGUCGUAUUUCAAAAGAAUUAAAUAAUCAAAUGAAACAAUAUUUUAAUCACUCUUGUCAUCUAAUCUAUCUUUAGAAGUGGCCAUUGUUGACAUCUUGAAACAAAUUCUAGUUACCAUCUCACCAUAUGCUUUCUCCUCUAUUCCACUUUUUUAUUUUACUCAUCUUUGUUGUUUUCAUUUGUUGUUUGUUGCCACUUUUCUUUUUAUAAUUUUUGCUACAAUUGGGAAUUAUUGAACUUGAUUUCAACUUUGUAGAAGCAAACAAAUACUGCAUUUGAAAUUGUACUUAUGGAUUAUUUGAAGGUGUGUUGUUACCUAUUUUUAACUUUUGCAUAUAAAGUUCAAGUAUCUUUGUAAGUAUGUGAAUACCUUCACUUUUAAACCUUAAAGAAGGGAUACAAAAUUUUAGCCCUAAAUUUACUUUUUCUAUUCGCAAAAUCACGUUUUGAACUUGCCUCUUUGAGUAGUCCUUUGGAAACACUUCAAUUCUUAAGCGGCUUAGUUAGGAGGCGCACAUUAAUCGGAUUCAAAUUCUUGUUUGGAUCCAUUCAGAGAAAGGCCUUUUGAAGGGACUCUGAUUUUGUUAUGGAUUGUUCCUCAAGCAGCCAUUCACAUCUUCUCAAUCAAUCAAUUGUUUUAUUUUUAUUUUUUGUUAAGAGAAUUCUUGUAGUAAUUUUUGUACCAAGAGAAAUAAUUCAUAGAUAGAUGUGAACUUUGUGUGUAAAGCCUCCACCAGAAAGCUGAAUGAUCGUGAAAUGUUAGGCCAUUCGGUUCGCACGGAGGCUAAGAGAAAGGGCUUGACCCAGCGUAUCUUUUGAAGGAAAUGAACAAUUUAUUUUUUUUCUUGUUCGUUUCUCAUCUAAGAUUCAACAUUUACUUUUUGAUUUUCUCACUUUUGAAACCUUUUUUAUGGUUUUCCUUGUGUUGUUAUUUUUCUUUUUUCUUUCUCCUCGGAUGCAUUCUUCGAUCGUUGUGUGUAAUUUUAUAACCAUCAUUUCGUAUUUCGUGGUAUCAAAGCUAUACUUUUCAUUUACGAAGGGUUAUCUUUUGUUUGUUAAAAGUGCGACGUAAUUCCUGAGAAAUCCUUAAAUUUGAUACAAAUACAAGGCCAUGGGUGAAACCGUUAGCGUUGCUCUUGAGGGUUGUCGUCCAUUUUCCCCUUUGUGCUUUGUAUAGCCUUUUCUUGUUUUUUUUUUUCAUUUUCAGUGUUUAAGUUUUGGUAUAGCGCGAAGAGGUCACGGUGAUGACCACAUAAAAUUCAAGCUCAACAGACCGGAAUGCACGGUUUUCUCAUUUUUAGAUUACUUUGCGUGUCGAUUAUCCCACUGGACUGAGUGAUCUCUUUCGUUUUUUAACAAAUCAAAAUUAAAUUUUCACUUUUCAAUUAAGCUAAAAUUAAUAUUAUUGUUGUUACUGUUGUUGUGGACGUAUGUUGGGGAAAGAGUUUUCACGAUGAAGAUAGCGAAGCUCCCUCUUCCAAAAUUUCAAGCUGAGGAAGAACGCUGGCUGAAUCGAACCAUAAACCUUGUGGCCACCACUGAGUGAUCACUUUCCCUUUCUGUUUAGUUUGUUUUAAUGUGUCCUUUGCUAAAUUCAUUAUUUGCUCACGUCUGAUUCUAUCCCGUGUCAUCAAUUUGUGAAAAAUUGGCCAAGUGAGCAGUGAAUAUGACGGUGGAUGCGUAAGCGAAGUGGAAGAGGCUAUGUGAAAAUGAUGUGAAGAGUGUGACUGAAGGAUGAUUUGAAGGUGUGUUGUUACCUAUUUUUAACUUUUGCAUAUAAAGUUCAAGUAUCUUUUAAGUAUGUUAAUACCUUCACUUUUAAACGUUAAAGAAGGGAUACAAAAUUUUUGCCCUAAAUUUACUUUUUCUAUUCGCAAAAUCACUUUUUGAACUUGCCUCUUUGAGUAGCCCUUUGGAAACACUCCAAUUCUUAAGCGGCUUAGUUAGGAGGCGCACAUUAAUCGGAUUCAAAUUCUUGUUUGGAUCCAUUCAGAGAAAGGCCUUUUGAAGGGACUCUGCGUUUGUUAUGGAUUGUUCCUCAAGCAGCCAUUCACAUCUUCUCAAUCAAUCAAUUGUUUUAUUUUUAUUUUUUGUUAUUGUUUUUAACAUGCCUUCAGAAUAACCGAACGACGAACAAACGUAGUUUGGUUCAGACAGAGGCGCAUAUCAAUUAUAUCAAAUGCCGAAAUCGUUCGAUUAUUCGAAUAGGUUCGACGAUGCGGAACGUGAUGUAGACAUGUUCCCUACCUAGUUACAUUUUGAUAUUCAUAUUUCCUUAAUUUAUUCUUAUUAUUGAUGGUUAAUUUGUACUAGAAAGUGAAUAUUUUUCCAUUGAAAUUGUUGGAUAUUCCAUUCACUGACUUGGCAAUGUUAAGAGAAUUCUUAUAGUAAUUUUUGUACCAAGAGAAAUAAUUCAUAGAUAGAUGUGAACUUUGUGUGUAAAGCCUCCACCAGAAAGCUGAAUGAUCGUGAAAUGUUAGGCCAUUCGGUUCGCACGGAGGCUAAGAGAAAGGGCUUGACCCAGCGUAUCUUUUGAAGGAAAUGAACAAUUUAUUUUUUUUCUUGUUCGUUUCUCAUCUAAGAUUCAACAUUUACUUUUUGAUUUUCUCACUUUUGAAACCUUUUUUAUGGUUUUCCUUGUGUUGUUAUUUUUCUUUUUUCUUUCUCCUCGGAUGCAUUCUUCGAUCGUUGUGUGUAAUUUUAUAACCAUCAUUUCGUAUUUCGUGGUAUUAAAGCUAUACUUUUCAUUUGCGAAGGGUUAUCUUUUGUUUGUUAAAACUGCGACGUAAUUCCUGAGAAAUCCUUAAAUUUGAUACAAAUACAAGGCCAUGGGUGAAACCGUUAGCGUUGCUCUUGAGGGUUGUCGUCCGUUUUCCCCUUUGUGCUUUGUAUAGCCUUUUCUUGUUUUUUUUUUUCAUUUUCAGUGUUUAAGUUUUGGUAUAGCGCGAAGAGGUCACGGUGAUGACCACAUAAAAUUCAAGCUCAACAGACCGGAAUGCACGGUUUUCUCAUUUUUAGAUUACUUUGCGUGUCGAUUAUCCCACUGGACUGAGUGAUCUCUUUCGUUUUUUAACAAAUCAAAAUUAAAUUUUCACUUUUCAAUUAAGCUAAAAUUAAUAUUAUUGUUGUUACUGUUGUUGUGGACGUAUGUUGGGGAAAGAGUUUUCACGAUGAAGAUAGCGAAGCUCCCUCUUCCAAAAUUUCAAGCUGAGGAAGAACGCUGGCUGAAUCGAACCAUAAACCUUGUGGCCACCACUGAGUGAUCACUUUCCCUUUCUGUUUAGUUUGUUUUAAUGUGUCCUUUGCUAAAUUCAUUAUUUGCUCACGUCUGAUUCUAUCCCGUGUCAUCAAUUUGUGAAAAAUUGGCCAAGUGAGCAGUGAAUAUGACGGUGGAUGCGUAAUCGAAGUGGAAGAGGCUAUGUGAAAAUGAUGUGAAGAGUGUGACUGAAGGAUGAUUUGAAGGUGUGUUGUUACCUAUCUUUAACUUUUGCAUAUAAAGUUCAAGUAUCUUUUAAGUAUGUUAAUACCUUCACUUUUAAACGUUAAAGAAGGGAUACAAAAUUUUAGCCCUAAAUUUACUUUUUCUAUUCGCAAAAUCACUUUUUGAACUUGCCUCUUUGAGUAGCCCUUUGGAAACACUCCAAUUCUUAAGCGGCUUAGUUAGGAGGCGCACAUUAAUCGGAUUCAAAUUCCUCUUUGUAUCCAUUCAGAGAAAGGCCUUUUGAAGGGACUCUGCGUUUGUUAUGGAUUGUUCCUCAAGCAGCCAUUCACAUCUUCUCAAUCAAUCAAUUGUUUUAUUUUUAUUUUUUGUUAUUGUUUUUAACAUGCCUUCAGAAUAACCGAACGACGAACAAACGUAGUUUGGUUCAGACAGAGGCGCAUAUCAAUUAUAUCAAAUGCCGAAAUCGUUCGAUUAUUCGAAUAGGUUCGACGAUGCGGAACGUGAUGUAGACAUGUUCCCUACCUAGUUACAUUUUGAUAUUCAUAUUUCCUUAAUUUAUUCUUAUUAUUGAUGGUUAAUUUGUACUAGAAAGUGAAUAUUUUUCCAUUGAAAUUGUUGGAUAUUCCAUUCACUGACUUGGCAAUGUUAAGAGAAUUCUUAUAGUAAUUUUUGUACCAAGAGAAAUAAUUCAUAGAUAGAUGUGAACUUUGUGUGUAAAGCCUCCACCAGAAAGCUGAAUGAUCGUGAAAUGUUAGGCCAUUCGGUUCGCACGGAGGCUAAGAGAAAGGGCUUGACCCAGCGUAUCUUUUGAAGGAAAUGAACAAUUUAUUUUUUUUCUUGUUCGUUUCUCAUCUAAGAUUCAACAUUUACUUUUUGAUUUUCUCACUUUUGAAACCUUUUUUAUGGUUUUCCUUGUGUUGUUAUUUUUCUUUUUUCUUUCUCCUCGGAUGCAUUCUUCGAUCGUUGUGUGUAAUUUUAUAACCAUCAUUUCGUAUUUCGUGGUAUUAAAGCUAUAAUUUUCAUUUGCGAAGGGUUAUCUUUUGUUUGUUAAAACUGCGACGUAAUUCUUGAGAAAUCCUUAAAUUUGAUACAAAUACAAGGCCAUGGGUGAAACCGUUAGCGUUGCUCUUGAGGGUUGUCGUCCAUUUUCCCCUUUGUGCUUUGUAUAGCCUUUUCAUGUUAAUUUUUUUCAUUUUCAGUGUUUAAGUUUUGGUAUAGCGCGAAGAGGUCACGGUGAUGACCACAUAAAAUUCAAGCUCAACAGACCGGAAUGCACGGUUUUCUCAUUUUUAGAUUACUUUGCGUGUCGAUUAUCCCACUGGACUGAGUGAUCUCUUUCGUUUUUUAACAAAUCAAAAUUAAAUUUUCACUUUUCAAUUAAGCUAAAAUUAAUAUUAUUGUUGUUACUGUUGUUGUGGACGUAUGUUGGGGAAAGAGUUUUCACGAUGAAGAUAGCGAAGCUCCCUCUUCCAAAAUUUCAAGCUGCGGAAGAACGCUGGCUGAAUCGAACCAUAAACCUUGUGGCCACCACUGAGUGAUCACUUUCCCUUUCUGUUUAGUUUUUUUUAAUGUGUCCUUUGCUAAAUUCAUUAUUUGCUCACGUCUGAUUCUAUCCCGUGUCAUCAAUUUGUGAAAAAUUGGCCAAGUGAGCAGUGAAUAUGACGGUGGAUGCGUAAUCGAAGUGGAAGAGGCUAUGUGAAAAUGAUGUGAAGAGUGUGACUGAAGGAUGAUUUGAAGGUGUGUUGUUACCUAUUUUUAACUUUUGCAUAUAAAGUUCAAGUAUCUUUUAAGUAUGUUAAUACCUUCACUUUUAAACGUUAAAGAAGGGAUACAAAAUUUUAGCCCUAAAUUUACUUUUUCUAUUCGCAAAAUCACUUUUUGAACUUGCCUCUUUGAGUAGCCCUUUGGAAACACUCCAAUUCUUAAGCGACUUAGUUAGGAGGCGCACAUUAAUCGGAUUCAAAUUCUUGUUUGGAUCCAUUCAGAGAAAGGCCUUUUGAAGGGACUCUGCGUUUGUUAUGGAUUGUUCCUCGAGCAGCCAUUCACAUCUUCUCAAUCAAUCAAUUGUUUUAUUUUUAUUUUUUGUUAUUGUUUUUAACAUGCCUUCAGAAUAACCGAACGACGAACAAACGUAGUUUGGUUCAGACAAAGGCGCAUGUCAAUUAUAUCAAAUGCUGAAAUCGUUCGAUUAUUCGAAUAGGUUCGACGGUGCGGAACGUGAUGUAGACAUGUUCCCUACCUAGUUACAUUUUGAUAUUCAUAUUUCCUUAAUUUAUUCUUAUUAUUGAUGGUUAAUUUGUACUAGAAAGUGAAUAUUUUUCCAUUGAAAUUGUUGGAUAUUCCAUUCACUGACUUGGCAAUGUUAAGAGAAUUCUUAUAGUAAUUUUUGUACCAAGAGAAAUAAUUCAUAGAUAGAUGUGAACUUUGUGUGUAAAGCCUCCACCAGAAAGCUGAAUGAUCGUGAAAUGUUAGGCCAUUCGGUUCGCACGGAGGCUAAGAGAAAGGGCUUGACCCAGCGUAUCUUUUGAAGGAAAUGAACAAUUUAUUUUUUUUUCUUGUUCGUUUCUCAUCUAAGAUUCAACAUUUACUUUUUGAUUUUCUCACUUUUGAAACCUUUUUUAUGGUUUUCCUUGUGUUGUUAUUUUUCUUUUUUCUUUCUCCUCGGAUGCAUUCUUCGAUCGUUGUGUGUAAUUUUAUAACCAUCAUUUCGUAUUUCGUGGUAUUAAAGCUAUACUUUUCAUUUGCGAAGGGUUAUCUUUUGUUUGUUAAAACUGCGACGUAAUUCCUGAGAAAUCCUUAAAUUUGAUACAAAUACAAGGCCAUGGGUGAAACCGUUAGCGUUGCUCUUGAGGGUUGUCGUCCAUUUUCCCCUUUGUGCUUUGUAUAGCCUUUUCUUGUUUUUUUUUUUCAUUUUCAGUGUUUAAGUUUUGGUAUAGCGCGAAGAGGUCACGGUGAUGACCACAUAAAAUUCAAGCUCAACAGACCGGAAUGCACGGUUUUCUCAUUUUUAGAUUACUUUGCGUGUCGAUUAUCCCACUGGACUGAGUGAUCUCUUUCGUUUUUUAACAAAUCAAAAUUAAAUUUUCACUUUUCAAUUAAGCUAAAAUUAAUAUUAUUGUUGUUACUGUUGUUGUGGACGUAUGUUGGGGAAAGAGUUUUCACGAUGAAGAUAGCGAAGCUCCCUCUUCCAAAAUUUCAAGCUGAGGAAGAACGCUGGCUGAAUCGAACCAUAAACCUUGUGGCCACCACUGAGUGAUCACUUUCCCUUUCUGUUUAGUUUGUUUUAAUGUGUCCUUUGCUAAAUUCAUUAUUUGCUCACGUCUGAUUCUAUCCCGUGUCAUCAAUUUGUGAAAAAUUGGCCAAGUGAGCAGUGAAUAUGACGGUGGAUGCGUAAUCGAAGUGGAAGAGGCUAUGUGAAAAUGAUGUGAAGAGUGUGACUGAAGGAUGAUUUGAAGGUGUGUUGUUACCUAUCUUUAACUUUUGCAUAUAAAGUUCAAGUAUCUUUUAAGUAUGUUAAUACCUUCACUUUUAAACGUUAAAGAAGGGAUACAAAAUUUUAGCCCUAAAUUUACUUUUUCUAUUCGCAAAAUCACUUUUUGAACUUGCCUCUUUGAGUAGCCCUUUGGAAACACUCCAAUUCUUAAGCGGCUUAGUUAGGAGGCGCACAUUAAUCGGAUUCAAAUUCCUCUUUGUAUCCAUUCAGAGAAAGGCCUUUUGAAGGGACUCUGCGUUUGUUAUGGAUUGUUCCUCAAGCAGCCAUUCACAUCUUCUCAAUCAAUCAAUUGUUUUAUUUUUAUUUUUUGUUAUUGUUUUUAACAUGCCUUCAGAAUAACCGAACGACGAACAAACGUAGUUUGGUUCAGACAGAGGCGCAUAUCAAUUAUAUCAAAUGCCGAAAUCGUUCGAUUAUUCGAAUAGGUUCGACGAUGCGGAACGUGAUGUAGACAUGUUCCCUACCUAGUUACAUUUUGAUAUUCAUAUUUCCUUAAUUUAUUCUUAUUAUUGAUGGUUAAUUUGUACUAGAAAGUGAAUAUUUUUCCAUUGAAAUUGUUGGAUAUUCCAUUCACUGACUUGGCAAUGUUAAGAGAAUUCUUAUAGUAAUUUUUGUACCAAGAGAAAUAAUUCAUAGAUAGAUGUGAACUUUGUGUGUAAAGCCUCCACCAGAAAGCUGAAUGAUCGUGAAAUGUUAGGCCAUUCGGUUCGCACGGAGGCUAAGAGAAAGGGCUUGACCCAGCGUAUCUUUUGAAGGAAAUGAACAAUUUAUUUUUUUUCUUGUUCGUUUCUCAUCUAAGAUUCAACAUUUACUUUUUGAUUUUCUCACUUUUGAAACCUUUUUUAUGGUUUUCCUUGUGUUGUUAUUUUUCUUUUUUCUUUCUCCUCGGAUGCAUUCUUCGAUCGUUGUGUGUAAUUUUAUAACCAUCAUUUCGUAUUUCGUGGUAUUAAAGCUAUAAUUUUCAUUUGCGAAGGGUUAUCUUUUGUUUGUUAAAACUGCGACGUAAUUCUUGAGAAAUCCUUAAAUUUGAUACAAAUACAAGGCCAUGGGUGAAACCGUUAGCGUUGCUCUUGAGGGUUGUCGUCCAUUUUCCCCUUUGUGCUUUGUAUAGCCUUUUCAUGUUAAUUUUUUUCAUUUUCAGUGUUUAAGUUUUGGUAUAGCGCGAAGAGGUCACGGUGAUGACCACAUAAAAUUCAAGCUCAACAGACCGGAAUGCACGGUUUUCUCAUUUUUAGAUUACUUUGCGUGUCGAUUAUCCCACUGGACUGAGUGAUCUCUUUCGUUUUUUAACAAAUCAAAAUUAAAUUUUCACUUUUCAAUUAAGCUAAAAUUAAUAUUAUUGUUGUUACUGUUGUUGUGGACGUAUGUUGGGGAAAGAGUUUUCACGAUGAAGAUAGCGAAGCUCCCUCUUCCAAAAUUUCAAGCUGCGGAAGAACGCUGGCUGAAUCGAACCAUAAACCUUGUGGCCACCACUGAGUGAUCACUUUCCCUUUCUGUUUAGUUUUUUUUAAUGUGUCCUUUGCUAAAUUCAUUAUUUGCUCACGUCUGAUUCUAUCCCGUGUCAUCAAUUUGUGAAAAAUUGGCCAAGUGAGCAGUGAAUAUGACGGUGGAUGCGUAAUCGAAGUGGAAGAGGCUAUGUGAAAAUGAUGUGAAGAGUGUGACUGAAGGAUGAUUUGAAGGUGUGUUGUUACCUAUUUUUAACUUUUGCAUAUAAAGUUCAAGUAUCUUUUAAGUAUGUUAAUACCUUCACUUUUAAACGUUAAAGAAGGGAUACAAAAUUUUAGCCCUAAAUUUACUUUUUCUAUUCGCAAAAUCACUUUUUGAACUUGCCUCUUUGAGUAGCCCUUUGGAAACACUCCAAUUCUUAAGCGACUUAGUUAGGAGGCGCACAUUAAUCGGAUUCAAAUUCUUGUUUGGAUCCAUUCAGAGAAAGGCCUUUUGAAGGGACUCUGCGUUUGUUAUGGAUUGUUCCUCGAGCAGCCAUUCACAUCUUCUCAAUCAAUCAAUUGUUUUAUUUUUAUUUUUUGUUAUUGUUUUUAACAUGCCUUCAGAAUAACCGAACGACGAACAAACGUAGUUUGGUUCAGACAAAGGCGCAUGUCAAUUAUAUCAAAUGCUGAAAUCGUUCGAUUAUUCGAAUAGGUUCGACGGUGCGGAACGUGAUGUAGACAUGUUCCCUACCUAGUUACAUUUUGAUAUUCAUAUUUCCUUAAUUUAUUCUUAUUAUUGAUGGUUAAUUUGUACUAGAAAGUGAAUAUUUUUCCAUUGAAAUUGUUGGAUAUUCCAUUCACUGACUUGGCAAUGUUAAGAGAAUUCUUAUAGUAAUUUUUGUACCAAGAGAAAUAAUUCAUAGAUAGAUGUGAACUUUGUGUGUAAAGCCUCCACCAGAAAGCUGAAUGAUCGUGAAAUGUUAGGCCAUUCGGUUCGCACGGAGGCUAAGAGAAAGGGCUUGACCCAGCGUAUCUUUUGAAGGAAAUGAACAAUUUAUUUUUUUUUCUUGUUCGUUUCUCAUCUAAGAUUCAACAUUUACUUUUUGAUUUUCUCACUUUUGAAACCUUUUUUAUGGUUUUCCUUGUGUUGUUAUUUUUCUUUUUUCUUUCUCCUCGGAUGCAUUCUUCGAUCGUUGUGUGUAAUUUUAUAACCAUCAUUUCGUAUUUCGUGGUAUUAAAGCUAUACUUUUCAUUUGCGAAGGGUUAUCUUUUGUUUGUUAAAACUGCGACGUAAUUCCUGAGAAAUCCUUAAAUUUGAUACAAAUACAAGGCCAUGGGUGAAACCGUUAGCGUUGCUCUUGAGGGUUGUCGUCCAUUUUCCCCUUUGUGCUUUGUAUAGCCUUUUCUUGUUUUUUUUUUUCAUUUUCAGUGUUUAAGUUUUGGUAUAGCGCGAAGAGGUCACGGUGAUGACCACAUAAAAUUCAAGCUCAACAGACCGGAAUGCACGGUUUUCUCAUUUUUAGAUUACUUUGCGUGUCGAUUAUCCCACUGGACUGAGUGAUCUCUUUCGUUUUUUAACAAAUCAAAAUUAAAUUUUCAAUUUUCAAUUAAGCUAAAAUUAAUAUUAUUGUUGUUAUUGUUGUUGUGGACGUAUGUUGGGGAAAGAGUUUUCACGAUGAAGAUAACGAAGCUCCCUCUUCCAAAAUUUCAAGCUGAGGAAGAACGCUGGCUGAAUCGAACCAUAAACCUUGUGGCCACCACUGAGUGAUCACUUUCCCUUUCUGUUUAGUUUUUUUUAAUGUGUCCUUUGCUAAAUUCAUUAUUUGCUCACGUCUGAUUCUAUCCUGUGUCAUCAAUUUGUGAAAAAUUGGCCAAGUGAGCAGUGAAUAUAACGGUGGAUGCGUAAUCGAAGUGGAAGAGGCUAUGUGAAAAUGAUGUGAAGAGUGUGACUGAAGGAUGAUUUGAAGGUUCGACGAUGCGGAACGUGAUCUAGACAUUUUGAUAUUCAUAUUUCCUUAAUUUAUUCUUAUUAUUGAUGGUUAAUUUGUACUAGAAAGUGAAUAUUUUUCCAUUGAAAUUGUUGGAUAUUCCAUUUUCCCCUUUGUGCUUUGUAUAGCCUUUUUUUUUCAUUUUCAGUGUUUAAGUUUUGGUAUAGCGUGAAGAGGUCACGGUGAUGACCAAAUAAA